AUGCUUACCUGGCAGGAGAGAUACCAUGAUCACGAAGGUGGCUUUCCUAGGAUGAGGCUUAUCCACUGCACUCUGGAUGUGCUAACCCCUAAUUUCCCCAAAUGUGGGAGACUGCAUAAUUUUUGGCAAUGGGGGACUGCGUUCACACUCACCCCUU
rnacentral:snRNA from 1 species